AUUGAACGCUGGCGGCAUGCUUUACACAUGCAAGUCGAACGGUAACAGGCCGCAAGGUGCUGACGAGUGGCGAACGGGUGAGUAAUGCAUCGGAACGUGCCCAGUCGUGGGGGAUAACGCAGCGAAAGCUGUGCUAAUACCGCAUACGAUCUGUGGAUGAAAGCGGGGGACCUUCGGGCCUCGCGCGAUUGGAGUGGACGAUGUCAGAUUAGGUAGUUGGUGGGGUAAAGGCUCACCAAGCCAACGAUCUGUAGCUGGUCUGAGAGGACGACCAGCCAAACUGGGACUGAGACACGGCCCAGACUCCUACGGGAGGCAGCAGUGGGGAAGUUUGGACAAUGGGCGCAAGCCUGAUCCAGCAAUGCCGCGUGCAGGAAGAAGGCCUUCGGGUUGUAAACUGCUUUUGUACGGAGCGAAAAGGCUCUCUCUAAUACAGGGGGCUCAUGACGGUACCGUAAGAAUAAGCACCGGCUAACUACGUGCCAGCCGCCGCGGUAA
rnacentral:rRNA from 1 species